rnacentral:rRNA from 1 species
AGAGUUUGAUCCUGGCUCAGGAUGAACGCUAGCUACAGGCUUAACACAUGCAAGUCGAGGGGCAGCAUGGUCUUAGCUUGCUAAGGCUGAUGGCGACCGGCGCACGGGUGAGUAACACGUAUCCAACCUGCCGUCUACUCUUGGCCAGCCUUCUGAAAGGAAGAUUAAUCCAGGAUGGGAUCAUGAGUUCACAUGUCCGCAUGAUUAAAGGUAUUUUCCGGUAGACGAUGGGGAUGCGUUCCAUUAGAUAGUAGGCGGGGUAACGGCCCACCUAGUCAACGAUGGAUAGGGGUUCUGAGAGGAAGGUCCCCCACAUUGGAACUGAGACACGGUCCAAACUCCUACGGGAGGCAGCAGUGAGGAAUAUUGGUCAAUGGGCGAUGGCCUGAACCAGCCAAGUAGCGUGAAGGAUGACUGCCCUAUGGGUUGUAAACUUCUUUUAUAAAGGAAUAAAGUCGGGUAUGCAUACCCGUUUGCAUGUACUUUAUGAAUAAGGAUCGGCUAACUCCGUGCCAGCAGCCGCGGUAAUACGGAGGAUCCGAGCGUUAUCCGGAUUUAUUGGGUUUAAAGGGAGCGUAGAUGGAUGUUUAAGUCAGUUGUGAAAGUUUGCGGCUCAACCGUAAAAUUGCAGUUGAUACUGGAUGUCUUGAGUGCAGUUGAGGCAGGCGGAAUUCGUGGUGUAGCGGUGAAAUGCUUAGAUAUCACGAAGAACUCCGAUUGCGAAGGCAGCCUGCUAAGCUGCAACUGACAUUGAGGCUCGAAAGUGUGGGUAUCAAACAGGAUUAGAUACCCUGGUAGUCCACACGGUAAA